rnacentral:rRNA from 1 species
GGGAGGAAGGGAAGUAAUNUUUUCCCCCGCUGUUUUGACGUUACCAACAGAAUAAGCACCGGCUAACUUCGUGCCAGCAGCCGCGGUAAUACGAAGGGUGCAAGCGUUAAUCGGAAUUACUGGGCGUAAAGCGCGCGUAGGUGGAUCAGCAAGUUGGAUGUGAAAUCCCCGGGCUCAACCUGGGAAACUGCAUCCAAAACUACUGAUCUAGAGUACGGUAGAGGGUGGUGGAAUUUCCUGUGUAGCGGUGAAAUGCGUAGAUAUAGGAAGGAACACCAGUGGCGAAGGCGACCACCUGGACUGAUACUGACACUGAGGUGCGAAGCGUGGGGAAGCAANAGGAUUAGAUACCCUGGUAGUCCACGCCGUAAACGAUGUCGACUAGCCGUUGGGAUCCUUGAGAUCUUAGUGGCGCAGCUAACGCGGAUAAGNCGACGCCNGGGGGAGUACGGCC